rnacentral:rRNA from 1 species
UCGGGAAUUUUGGGCAAUGGGCGAAAGCCUGACCCAGCAACGCCGCGUGAAGGAUGAAGUAUUUCGGUAUGUAAACUUCGAAAGAAUAGGAAGAAUAAAUGACGGUACUAUUUAUAAGGUCCGGCUAACUACGUGCCAGCAGCCGCGGUAAUACGUAGGGACCAAGCGUUAUCCGGAAUCACUGGGCGUAAAGGGUGUCGAGGCGGUUGUAUUAGUCGUUCGUAAAAUCUACGAGCUUAACUUGUAGGCGGCGAACGAAACGGUACGACUUGAGGUUUGGAGAGGUGCGUGGAACUCACGGUGUAGGGGUGAAAUCCGUUGAUAUCGUGGGGAACACCAAAGGCGAAGGCAGCGCACUGGCCAAAAUCUGACGCUCACACACGAAAGCUAGGGUAGCGAAGAGGAUUAGAUACCCGCGUAGUCCCUGAGCGGGCUGGCAAGGCGCAU